GUUGUCAUGCCAAUGGCACUGCCCGGUAGCUAAAUGCGGAAGAGAUAAGUGCUGAAAGCAUCUAAGCACGAAACUUGCCCCGAGAUGAGUUCUCCCUGAGACUUUAGGUCUCCUGAAGGAACGUUGAAGACGACGACGUUGAUAGGCCGGGUGUGUAAGCGCAGCGAUGCGUUGAGCUAACCGGUACUAAUGAACCGUGAGGCUUAACCUUACAACGCCGAAG
rnacentral:rRNA from 1 species